CCUACGGGAGGCAGCAGUGAGGAAUAUUGGUCAAUGGCCGGAAGGCUGAACCAGCCAAGCCGCGUGAAGGACGAAGGUGCCAAGCAUUGUAAACUUCUUUUGUCAAGGGACAAAAUCAGGCUCGAGAGCCUGACCGAGGGUACUUGAAGAAAAAGCAUCGGCUAACUCCGUGCCAGCAGCCGCGGUAAUACGGAGGAUGCGAGCGUUAUCCGGAUUUAUUGGGUUUAAAGGGUGCGUAGGCGGGCUGUUAAGGUAGCGGUAAAAGGCCGGGGCUCAACCCGGGAAAGGCCUUUAAACCGGUGUAUCUAGAGAGGACAGUGGGUAGGCGGAAGGCAUGGUGGAGUGGUGAAAUGCUGAGAGAUGAGACAGAACACCGAUUGAGAAGGCAGCAUACCAACGGAUAUCUGCCGUUGAGGCACGAAAGCGUGGGGAGCAAACAGGAUUAGAUACCCGUGUAGUC
rnacentral:rRNA from 1 species